rnacentral:rRNA from 1 species
UUAAAUUGAAGAGUUUGAUCAUGGCUCAGAUUGAACGCUGGCGGCAGGCCUAACACAUGCAAGUCGAGCGGUAGCACAGAGAGCUUGCUCUCGGGUGACGAGCGGCGGACGGGUGAGUAAUG